UUGUUACCUUACAAGCAGAGGGAGUUUCAGCAAGCUGCUGUUUUUCUUAUCUGCCGUCCUCACUGUUAUUCUCUUUUAUACUUGGGAAAACAGAGGUACAGAGGUUUUUUUGAAAAACUUAACCGGGUACUAGAGGUUCCAGCCAGAGCAAUUAGGAAAAAAGAAAGGGAGGGAGGAGAAAAGAAAGGAAGAGAGGGAGGACAUCCACAUUGGAAAGGAACCUAAAUGCGAUGGCCAGGUAUUACUGACACAAGUGUGGAAGCGUUUAAACCUGGUAGAAUGUGACUACUUCGGGUUGGAGUUUCAAAAUACUCAGUCCUAUUGGGGUCUGGCUAUUUGUUGCCCAGGCUGGAGUGUAGUGGUGCGAACACAGUUCUCUGCAGCCUCAACCUCCUGGGUUCAAGCUAUCUUCCCACCUCAGUCUCAAGAUAAUUAUUUUCGUUCAUCUACUUAUUAAAUUUUUUUAAACUAAGG
rnacentral:sRNA from 1 species